CCUACGGGAGGCUGCAGUGAGGAAUAUUGGUCAAUGGGCGCUAGCCUGAACCAGCCAAGUAGCGUGAAGGAUGACUGCCCUAUGGGUUGUAAACUUCUUUUAUAUGGGAAUAAAGUCCAGUAUGCAUAUUGCUCUGCAUGUACCUUAUGAAUAAGGAUCGGCUAACUCCGUGCCAGCAGCCGCGGUAAUACGGAGGAUUCGAGCGUUAUCCGGAUUUAUUGGGUUUAAAGGGAGCGUAGGCGGGUUGAUAAGUCAGUUGUGAAAGUCUGCGGCUCAACCGUAAAAUUGCAGUUGAUACUGGCAUCCUUGAGUGCAGUAGAGGUAGGCGGAAUUCGUGGUGUAGCGGUGAAAUGCUUAGAUAUCACGAAGAACUCCGAUUGCGAAGGCAGCCUGCUGGGCUGUAACUGACGCUGAUGCUCGAAAGUGUGGGUAGCAAACAGGAUUAGAUACCCCUGUAGUC
rnacentral:rRNA from 1 species